UUUACAAGGGUGUGUGAGAGUCCAGUGAGAAGGAGAUGAGAAAGAACAGAGAAGAAAAGGUUUUGCUCUGUUUUUAUCCUGUGUGGGGUCCACCUUGUUAAGCGGGUUUGCCACGCGGGGUAUCUUUUGUCACGUGUGGUUUUAUUGUUCCUUAGAUUUUGUUGAUGUCAUAAUGUGGUUGACCAUACAAUUCGGAGUUUUUGUUUGAUUCUUUAGGUACUUUCUGUGGCUCGCAAGA